rnacentral:rRNA from 1 species
GCAAGAUACCACGGGCGCACGGCGGAUGCCUUGGCACAGGGAGCCGAUGAAGGACGCGGCAAGCUGCGAUAAUCCCCGGCGAGGAGCACACAUCCUUCGACCCGGGGGUCUCCGAAUGGGCGAACCCAUCCACAGAGGUGUGGAUAUCCCCACCCCGAACACAUAGGGGCGGGGAGGACAACCCGGGGAACUGAAACAUCUAAGUACCCGGAGGAGAGGAAAUCAAUCUCGAGACUCCCCGAGUAGCGGCGAGCGAAAGGGGACCGAUGGCCAAACCGUCGAGCGGGCAUACCCGGCAGGGGUUCCGCCGACGGGGUUGCAGGGCCGCGCAUCCGGGGGCUGCCGCCCCCGGGCGCAGGUCCGGCUGGGGAGCGGAACGGCAUGGGAGGGCCGGCCGCAGCGGGUGACAGCCCCGUACGCGAACCCAGACCGGACGGCGCGACGCGGUCCCUGAGUAGGGCCGGGCACGUGAAACCCGGUCCGAACCUGGGUGGACCACCAUCCAAGCCUGAGUACUACCCUGUGACCGAUAGCGCACCAGUACCGUGAGGGAAAGGUGAAAAGCACCCCGGGAGGGGAGUGAAACAGUACCUGAAACCGUGCGCCCACGAGCAGUCGGAGCACCUAUACGGUGUGACGGCGUGCCUUUUGUAGAAUGAGCCAGCGAGUCGCUGGCGCGGGGCGAGGUUAACCGAAAGGGAGCCGGAGCGAAAGCGAGCCUUAACAGGGCGACUUGAGUCCCGCGCCGCGGACGCGAAGCCGGGUGAGCUAUCCGUGGGCAGGCUGAAGCGGGGGUAAGACCCCGUGGAGGGCCGAACGCACGUCGGUUGAAAACGGCGGCGAUGACCUGCGGAUAGGGGUGAAAGGCCAAUCAAACCCGGAGAUAUCUCGUUCUCCCCGAAAUAGCUUUAGGGCUAGCGUCGCGCGUUCACCGCCGGAGGUAGAGCACCGGAUGGACGAGGGGGCUUCGCCGCCUACCGAAUCCAACCGAACUCCGAAUGCCGGCGGCCCAGAGCGCGGCAGUCAGAGCAUGUGGGCUAAGCUGUGUGCUCGAGAGGGAAACAGCCCGGACCGCCCGCUAAGGUCCCCAAGUUCCAGCCGAGUGGCAAAGGAUGUGCGUCCGCCCAGACAACCAGGAUGUUGGCUUAGAAGCAGCCAUGCAUUCAAAGAGUGCGUAACAGCUCACUGGUCGAGUGGACAUGCGCCGACAAUACACGGGGCUAAGCUGGACACCGAAGCGGCGGGAUUUU